UGGGGAAUAUUGCACAAUGGGCGCAAGCCUGAUGCAGCCAUGCCGCGUGUGUGAAGAAGGCCUUCGGGUUGUAAAGCACUUUCAGCGGGGAGGAAGGCGUUAAGGUUAAUAACCUUGGCGAUUGACGUUACCCGCAGAAGAAGCACCGGCUAACUCCGUGCCAGCAGCCGCGGUAAUACGGAGGGUGCAAGCGUUAAUCGGAAUUACUGGGCGUAAAGCGCACGCAGGCGGUCUGUCAAGUCGGAUGUGAAAUCCCCGGGCUCAACCUGGGAACUGCAUUCGAAACUGGCAGGCUAGAGUCUUGUAGAGGGGGGUAGAAUUCCAGGUGUAGCGGUGAAAUGCGUAGAGAUCUGGAGGAAUACCGGUGGGGAAGGCGGCCCCCUGGACAAAGACUGACGCUCAGGUGCGAAAGCGUGGGGAGCAAACAGG
rnacentral:rRNA from 1 species